rnacentral:tRNA from 1 species
GCUGCUAUGGCUCAGGUGGUAGAGCGCAUCCUUGGUAAGGAUGAGGUCGGCAGUUCAAGUCUGCCUAGCAGCUCCA